rnacentral:rRNA from 1 species
CCUACGGGAGGCAGCAGUGGGGAAUAUUGGGCAAUGGGCGCAAGCCUGACCCAGCAACGCCGCGUGAAGGAAGAAGGCUUUCGGGUUGUAAACUUCUUUUAAGAGGGAAGAGCAGAAGACGGUACCUCUUGAAUAAGCCACGGCUAACUCCGAGCCAGCAGCCGCGGUAAUACGUAGGUGGCAAGCGUUGUCCGGCUUUACUGGGUGUAAAGGGCGUGCAGCCGGGAAGACAAGUCGGAUGUGAACGCCCGCGGCUCAACCGCGGAACUGCCUUUGAAACUGUUUUUCUUGAGUACCGGAGAGGUCAGCGGAAUUCCUUGUGGAGCGGUGAAAUGCGUAGAUAUAAGGAAGAAUACCGGUGGCGAAGGCGGAUGCCUGGACGGCGACUGACGGUGAGGCGCGAAAGCGUGGGGAGCAAACAGGAUUAGAUACCCGUGUAGUC